UACAGAGGGUGCGAGCGUUGUCCGGAAUCACUGGGCGUAAAGGGCGCGUAGGUGGUUGGGUAAGCGUGUGGUGAAAGCCCGGGGCUCAACCCCGGGUCGGCCAUGCGAACUGCCCGACUGGAGCACGGUAGAGGCCAAUGGAAUUCCGGGUGUAGCGGUGGAAUGCGUAGAGAUCCGGAAGAACACCGGUGGCGAAGGCGGUUGGCUGGGCCGUGGCUGACACUGAUGCGCGACAGCGUGGGGAGCAAACAGG
rnacentral:rRNA from 1 species